AGGAUGAACGCUGGCGGCGUGCCUAACACAUGCAAGUCGAACGUCCUGUCUCGCAAGAGGCAGGGAGUGGCGGACGGGUGAGUACCACGUGGGUGAUCUACCGUGAGGUGAGGAAUACCGGCGAGAAAUCGCCGACAAGACCGCAUAGCCCUCUUUGAUGAGAGUCAAAGAAGGAAAGCUUCGCAAGAGGCGCUAGAGGAGGGGCCUGCGUCCGAUUAGCUAGUUGGUGGGGUAAGAGCCUACCAAGGCGUCGAUCGGUAGCUGGUCUGAGAGGACGAUCAGCCACACUGGGAUUGAGAACGGCCCAGACUCCUACGGGGGGCAGCAGUGAGGAAUUUUCGGCAAUGGGGGAAACCCUGACCGAGCAACGCCGCGUGCAGGAAGACGGCCUUCGGGUUGUAAACUGCUUUUCUUGGGAAGAGGAAGGACGGUACCAGAGGAAUCAGCCCGGCUCACUACGUGCCAGCAGCCGC
rnacentral:rRNA from 1 species